ensembl:lncRNA
CACUAUAUAGGGAAUAGGGUCUAUAGUAGUACCACUAUAUAGGGAAUAGGGUCUAUAGUAGUACCACUAUAUAGGGAAUAGGGUCUAUAGUAGUACCACUAUAUAGGGAAUAGGGUCUAUAGUAGUACCACUAUAUAGGGAAUAGGGUCUAUAGUAGUACACUAUAUAGGGAAUAGGGCUCUGGUCUAAAGUAGUACCACUAUAUAGGGAAUAGGGCUCUGGUCUAAAGUAGUACCACUAUAUAGGGAAUAAGGCUCUGGUCUAUAGUAGUUGCACUAUAUAGGGAAUAGGGCUCUGGUCUAUAGGAGUGCACUAUAUA